rnacentral:rRNA from 1 species
ACUAAGGGAUUGUUUUGAGGUUGGGCCUGCCCACUGAAUAAUAAUUGAAGGGCCGCGGUAUUAUGACCGUGCAAAGGUAGCAUAAUCAUUAGUCUUUUAAUUGAGGGCUAGAAUGAAUGGUUUGACGAGGUAAUGACUGUCUCAUUAUGACAAUUAGAAGUUAACUUUUAGGUGAAAAGGCUUAAAUAUGUAUAUAGGACGAGAAGACCCUAUAGAGUUUGAUAUAUUUGAGUAAUUAUUUAUUUGGAUGUUUAUGUAUAAUUACUUAAUAUAUAUUUUGUUGGGGUGACAUAAAGAUAUAUUUAACUCUUUAUUUUAUUUACAUUGAUAUAUGGGUUUUUUGAUCCAUUUUUAGUGAUCAAAAGGUUAAAUUACCUUAGGGAUAACAGCGUAAUUUCCUUUGAGAGUUCGUAUCAACAAGGGAGAUUGCGACCUCGAUGUUGGAUUAAGAAGUAUAAUUGGAUGCAGUCGUUUAAUUUAUAGGUCUGUUCGACCUUUAAAGUCUUACGUGAUCUGAUUCCCGAACCGGA